GGCCAAAAUUUUGCUGUUUAAAAUACUUCAUUAAUUUUCUACCAAUUCUCAUGAAAGCUGGCUCACACAUUGGAUUUGAGGAAAAGAUGUGCAAGAUACAUUUAUGCAAGUGUCGGAAAUUGUGUUGCCAUGGUAACGGUAUAUAUUGGCAAAAAUUGUGUAUAAAUCUUGCUGUUCUAUUUCCUCAGUUUUUAACAAAUUUUCAUUAAAUGUACGUGGUACAAACAUUAGUCUUGAUGUGAAGAUGUGCAAAACAUAUUUUAUGCCUACAUAAAAAAUUGUGUUGCCAUGGUAACAAAAAAAAUACCAAAAAUAAAUGAAAAUCUUGUGAUUGAAUUACUAUAUCAGUUUUCAACUGGUCUGUUCUCCUAAAACUUGGCAUACACAUUAGUCUUGAGUUGAAGCUGUCUAAGACAUAUUUUUGCCUGUAUCAAAAAUCAUGUUGCCAUGGUAACGAAAUAUUAUUUAACGAAAAUCUUGUAGUUCAAACUCCUUCAUCUUUUUCAACCGAUGCUCAUGAAAUUUGGCACACACAUCAGUCGAGUUGAAAAUGUGCAAGAAUAUUUUUUGUCUGUAUCAGAAAUCGUGUUGCCAAGGUAACAACAUAUUAUAUAAUGAAAUUAGGUGAAAAUCUUGUGGUCUGAAACCCUUUUUAGUUUUCAACCAAUUCUUAUAAAAGUUGGCUCACACAUUGAUUUUGAGGUAUAGAUCUGCAAGACAUAGUCAUAGUCUAUAUUGGAAAAUUUGUUACGUGAACCAAUUUUUCUGUGGCCGGUCGAGACACGUAUUUCCCAAUAAAACCAAUAUUUCGCAAUUGGUAGCGAACUGAUCUACAAAUAAAAGAAAUGUGAUUAGACAUGUGAGAAUCAAAAACUAUACCGAGAUUGCGACAAGAACUUGACAGAAUUACAGUGAGGCCAGAAAAUGAGAUUGAGUCGAUGUGGAUUUUACUAAGAUGUACCGGUACUUUGGGGCUAAAAAGAAGAAAUUCACAUUUGGCUGAAUUCAACUUAUUGCUGGAUCCCUAGCCUGCUUCCUUUUUCAGGCCUAGGGCCUACUGUAAGAUGAAUAGAUCUAGACUAGCCUACAUACAUUUACUAUUUUUUAGAACUAGAAUCUAUAUUUUGAUAGAGCCUACAAGUCUCUAUUUUAGAUCUCGACCUAUAACUAUUAACAUCUAGAUUGUAGUUCUACUUUUACUAGGCCUAGAUCUAGAUAGGGUCUAGCUUUUAGUCUUAUUUUUCGUCUAGAUCUAGGCCUACGUUAGAGAUUAUAGAUCAAACAGUAGACUAGUCUGACUAGAUCAGCCAGUCCUAUCGUUAGGGCUACCGGCUAGGCUAGAAAUAGAAUCUAGAAUGAAUAGAAGUAUAGCCAUAAUACUAUAGGCUAGGCCACCUAGACCUAAAGUAAAUUUUUAUAUAAAUGUAGGCCCCAGUCUAGACUGAGCUGUUGGUCUAGGCUUUACUUUAGGCCUGUUUUCUAGAAACCUAGAUCUAAACAAACUCCCCAAAAUGUAUAAAUUAAAAACUCCAAACAAACAUAUGGACCUAAAAGAGAAGUAGACCUAGAUCUACUUAGAAUCUACAUAGAUAUAGAUGUCUAGGUCAGGACUAGGCCUAGAACUAAGUUUAGGCGUAGUUGGCAAGCAAUGCAUAGCGAUAGGCCUAGCAGUAGCACUGUAGACAGGAAUAACUGUCGUUUCUGGGAAUUCAUUUAAAAGUUUCUGACAUUUACUGUCAUAUCACAUUGGUGAGAUUAGGGUCUAGUCCAAUGUAAUGUUGUUAGACUGUCGAGUGUCGUACUCGUAGUUUAGCAGAAAAACCAAAAUACAGUCGGAGACAGAAGCUUUUGGUCUAGGGCUAGAUCUAGGCCUAACUCUAAGUCAGAUCUAUUCUAGUCCUACAUGUAAAUCUAUCCCUGUCCUAAGUAAGGCUAAGCCAGGCUAAGUCCUGAAUGUUGUUCUAGGCCUAGACCAAUACUAAUAUAGGUCUAUAUGAUUUAUUAAUAUAGGCCUACUAUUAUAUAGCUUCAGUCUCGACUAACAAAGUUACGUUUUGCAGCCUUCAUGAAACUAG